CCUACGGGUGGCAGCAGUGGGGAAUCUUGGACAAUGGGGGGAACCCUGAUCCAGCGACGCCGCGUGAGUGAAGAAGUAUUUCGGUAUGUAAAGCUCUAUCCGCAGGGAAGAAAAUGACGGUACCUGACUAAGAAGCCCCGGCUACCUACGUGCCAGAAGCCGCGGUAAUACGUAGGGGGCAAGCGUUAUCCGGAUUUACUGGGAGUAAAGGGAGCGCAGACGGUGCAGCAAGUCUGAUGUGAAAGGUCGGGGCCCAACCCCGGGACUGCAUUGGAAACUGUUGAACUGGAGUACAGGAGAGGGAAGCGGAAUUCUCAGUGUAGCGGUGAAAUGCGUAGAUAUUGGGAGGAACACUAGUGGCGAAGGCGGCUUACUGGACUGUAACUGACGUUGAGGCUCGAAGGCGUGGGGAGCAAACAGGAUUAGAUACCCGGGUAGUC
rnacentral:rRNA from 1 species